UCGCAGGGGUAAGCUACGCCCUCCACGGACAAGUAAUUGCCGUGCAGCGUAUGGUGGAAGUCCAUACGGCAACAGGCUGAAUUGCUGGGAACCCCUAAAGCCGUGCGUACCAAAACAUGGGGAUGAAACAUGCCCGGAUGUGACGGUGGCGAAAGCGGAAAAAAACGCACGGAUGGCGCAGGGUGCGAACCUAAACGCCGGGACAAUGGGCGAUCAGCAGCCAAGCCCCGAACAGGGGAAGGUUCAACGACUAUCCUUUGCAGGAGUAGGGCCGAGCGGCCCGAAGCAGCCUGCCCCGCUCCAUGCGGGUGAAGAUAUAGUCUGCGCCCAUGUGAAAGCAUGGG
rfam:Eubacterium plexicaudatum ASF492 genomic scaffold acLZb-supercont1.14, whole genome shotgun sequence.